rnacentral:rRNA from 1 species
AUUGAACGCUGGCGGCAUGCCUUACACAUGCAAGUCGAACGGCAGCACGGGAGCAAUCCUGGUGGCGAGUGGCGAACGGGUGAGUAAUGUAUCGGAACGUGCCCAGUCGUGGGGGAUAACGUAGCGAAAGCUACGCUAAUACCGCAUACGAUCUAUGGAUGAAAGCGGGGGAUCGCAGGACCUCGAGCGAUUGGAGCGGCCGAUAUCAGAUUAGGUAGUUGGUGGGGUAAAGGCUCACCAAGCCGACGAUCUGUAGCUGGUCUGAGAGGACGACCAGCCACACUGGGACUGAGACACGGCCCAGACUCCUACGGGAGGCAGCAGUGGGGAAUUUUGGACAAUGGGCGCAAGCCUGAUCCAGCAAUGCCGCGUGCAGGAUGAAGGCCUUCGGGUUGUAAACUGCUUUUGUACGGAACGAAACGGCGAGCUCUAAUACAGUUUGCUAAUGACGGUACCGUAAGAAUAAGCACCGGCUAACUACGUGCCAGCCGCCGCGGUAA